AUUGAACGCUGGCGGCAGGCUUAACACAUGCGAGUCGAGCGGGGGAAGGUAGCUUGCUACUGGACCUAGCGGCGGACGGGUGAGUAAUGCUUAGGAAUCUGCCUAUUAGUGGGGGACAACAUCUCGAAAGGGAUGCUAAUACCGCAUACGUCCUACGGGAGAAAGCAGGGGAUCUUCGGACCUUGCGCUAAUAGAUGAGCCUAAGUCGGAUUAGCUAGUUGGUGGGGUAAAGGCCUACCAAGGCGACGAUCUGUAGCGGGUCUGAGAGAAUGAUCCGCCACACUGGGACUGAGACACGGCCCAGACUCCUGCGGGAGGCAGCAGUGGGGAAUAUUGGACAAUGGGGGGAACCCUGAUCCAGCCAUGCCGCGUGUGUGAAGAAGGCCUUAUGGUUGUAAAGCACUUUAAGCGAGGAGGAGGCUACUCUAGUUAAUACCUAGGGAUAGUGGACGUUACUCACAGAAUAAGCACCGGCUAACUCUGUGCCAGCCGCCGCAGUAA
rnacentral:rRNA from 1 species